rnacentral:tRNA from 1 species
GGUCGUGUGGCGCAAUGGUAGCGCGUUACUUUCCGGUUUCAAACACAGAAAUGUGUUCUCAGGCUGGUAAAGGUUCUGGGUUCGAGUCCCAGCAUGAUCG